rnacentral:lncRNA from 1 species
CAUGACUAGUACACCGAGUAUACUGACUCUGUUAAAUCAUGUUUGCACACAUACAUAGUUUACAUUAGUUUAUACCAAUAUAUUCGCAUCACUUUACAAUUAAUAUUAAUAUACAUCAUUAAAUAUGGUCUACAUCACAUCACAAAUACAAUUAUUUAUACUACACAAACUAUCAUAUACAAAUAGUCUAAAACACACAUAAAUAUACAUAUGAAUUAAUAUAGAGUGGUCGUUAACCAAUUUUAAUAGACUGGAAAUAUACACGAAAAUACAUACAUAACACCCUUUUUAUAAUAUUUUGUUAUUAUAAUUAUUGUUUUUAAAAAAAUAUCUAAAUAUAAUAUUAUUUCAUAAUUGAAAAAGAAGGGUUUAGGUUUACCUUUUUGAAUUUUCUUCUUUUCUUCUUCACUGCUCUGCAGUACUCCAAAGCCAAAUAAAUUUUUACGUUCUUCUCUUUCUAGUUGUUUA